UGUGGUCCCUUUCAUAUCUUUCAUUGCCCUUGUCUUUUGACCUAUCCGUGGUCCUAUACAUACUCUGUUCAUCUGUUCCAAUUUUGUCAAGAUCUGCAAAUCGAGGAUCCGCCGACCUCUCUCUGUCAGGUACUCGAACUUCACCAUCAGAAUCUCUUAAUUCAGUAUCCCCUUUGUAACGUUUACUUGGUCUGUCAGGAUCUUCAGAGGGACUAGUUCUUUUUUGAAGCCUAUCACCAGACUUGGAAGUAGCAACAGAGCUAUCAUGCCUUGGAGAAUGCAUGGCUCGGGAUGAAGAGGACUUUGGUGCAUCAGAAACCUCGUUGCCAUCACUUUUACCAGU
rnacentral:lncRNA from 1 species